AGUGAACGCUGGCGGCAGGCCUAACACAUGCAAGUCGAACGGCAGCACAGUAAGAGCUUGCUCUUACGGGUUGCGAGUGGCGGACGGGUGAGGAAUACAUCGGAAUCUACUUUUUCGUGGGGGAUAACGUAGGGAAACUUACGCUAAUACCGCAUACGACCUACGGGUGAAAGCAGGGGAUCUUCGGACCUUGCGCGAUUGAAUGAGCCGAUGUCGGAUUGGCUAGUUGGGGGGGUAAAGGCCCACCAAGGCGACGAUCCGUAGAUGGUCUGAGAGGAUGGUCGGCGACACUGGAACGGAGACACGGUCCAGAGUCCUACGGGAGGCAGCAGUGGGGAAUAUGGGGCAAUGGGCGCAAGCCUGAUCCAACCAUACCGCGUGUGUGAAGGAGGCCUUCGGGGUGGAAAGCCCUUUUGUUGGGAAAGAAAAGCUUCAGGUUAAUACCCCGCUGUUCUGACGGUACCCAAAGAAUAAGCACCGGCUAACUUCGUG
rnacentral:rRNA from 1 species